UGCCUCACCCCUGGCGACCCCGGAAGUGGGUCUGGGGCUUGGCCUCUCCCCGCCCCAGAGCCGGAGCGGGAGGUGGUGGCCGGGGGGAGGGGGGCUCCUGCCGGAUCGUGCCGAUCGGUCAGUGGGCCCUGGGCAAGGCCCGGACCAGAGGAGGUCCAGGAUGCUAAAUGUCCCUUCUCAGUCUUUCCCGGCCCCCAGUUCUCAGCAGCGCGCCGCCUCCGGGGGGCGUAGCAAGGUACCUUUAAAACAAGGCAGAAGUCUUAUGGAUUGGAUUCGACUAACCAAAAGUGGGAAAGACCUAACAGGAUUAAAAGGCAGGCUAAUUGAAGUAACUGAAGAAGAACUUAGGAAACAUAAUAAAAAAGAUGACUGUUGGAUAUGUAUAAGAGGGUAUGUUUAUAAUGUCAGUCCAUAUAUGGAAUAUCAUCCUGGUGGAGAAGAUGAACUAAUGAGAGCAGCAGGAUCAGAUGGUACUGACCUUUUUGAUGAGGUUCACCGUUGGGUCAAUUAUGAAUCCAUGCUGAAAGAAUGCCUGGUUGGCAGAAUGGCAAUUAAACCUGCAGUUCCAAAAGACUAUCAUGAGGAAAAGAGAGUCUUAAAUGGUAUGCUUCCCAAGACCCAAGUAGCAGGUACACUUGCCAAAGAAGGUCCUAAUUCUCCAAGCUAUGACUGGUUCCAAACAGACUUUUUAGUCACCAUUGUCAUAUAUACUAAACAAAAGGAAAUGGGUUUAGAUUCAGUAAUAGUUGAUCAUCAAGAUGACUCCUUUAGAGCAGAAACACUUAUCAAGGAUUAUUCGUAUUUUAUCCAUAUUGGGCUAAGCCACGAGGUUGAGGAAGAUUUUUCUGUGAGAGUUGUUGAGAAUGUGGGAAAAAUAGAGAUUGUCCUUAAAAAAAAGGAAAAUAUUUCUUGGAAAUGCCUUGGACAUCCCCUGGAGAAGCAUAAUUUACUUAUUCUAAAGAAAGAUACAGGUUUAUACUACAGAAAGUGCCAGUUAGUUUCCAAGGAAGAUGUCACUCAUGAUACAAAGCUUUUCUGUUUGAUGCUGCCACCAAGCACUCAUCUCCAGGUGCCAGUUGGGCACCAUGUUUACCUCAAGGUAACUAUCACAGGUACAGAAAUAGUAAAGCCAUAUACACCUGUAUCUUAUUCCUUAUUCUCAGAGUUCAAAGAACCAGAUCUUCCUAAUAAUAAAUACAUCUACUUUUUGAUCAAAAUCUAUCCUGCUGGACUCCUUACACCAGAGCUUGAUCAUCUUCAGAUUGGAGAUUUUGUUUCUGUAAGUGGUCCCGAAGGCAAUUUUAAAAAAUCCAGACUCCAGGAAUUAGAAGAUCUCUUUUUAGUGGCAGCUGGAACAGGCUUCACACCAAUGGUUAAAAUACUGAAUUAUGCUUUGAGUAACAUACCCAGUCUCAGGAAGUUGAAGUUGAUGUUCUUCAAUAAAACAGAGGAUGAUAUAAUCUGGAGAAACCAAUUGGAAAAAUUAGCAUUUAAGGAUAAAAGAUUUGAUGUUGAAUAUGUUCUCUCAGCACCAACAUCUGAAUGGAAUGGCAAGCAGGGACACAUUUCACCAGCUCUUCUUUCUGGAUUUCUGAAACGAAGUUUUGAAAAAUCCAGAGUCCUUCUCUGCAUUUGUGGACCAACGCCAUUUAUAGAACAAGGAAUAAUCAGGGCAGGUGCUCCCCAGGAGCCUGUGGAGCUUACAGCUGUAUCCCCAGCAGUUUGCCAGGCUUGGUGCUACCAGUGUGGACAUGGAUGUCACUGGGACAGCUGGUCCCACUGCUUGACCCCCCUAGCUUGCUGCCUGCCCCCCUGCUCUGGACCAGUUUCCAUUAUACCUUCCUCCCAGACCCAGCGUUUCCAACCAGUUCUGUCACUACAAGAUGCCGCCCCUGUUUGCCAAGGUUGAGGGCAAAGGAAAUGGAAUCAAGGCAGUAAUAGUCAACAUGGUGGACUUGCAGAGGUUGCUGCAUGAUCUUUACUUUUCCAAAGACGAGAUCCACAGUUUUACAGCAUAAUGAAGAACUGUCGUUUUCCUUUAUUCAGCUAGUUUCCUUUAUUCACCUAAAUUUGUGAUUGCUUAGAAAUUUUUAAGAGAAAAUUUUUGUAUGUAUUACAAUGUUAACUACAAUCCAGUCUUUACUUUCUUAAAUGAAAUCAAAUAUUCUGUGAGUACAGGUAACUUGUUGGCUUUAUUUUGUACCAUAACUUAUUUUACUACUAAUAUUUGACCUGGAAAAACAAUCAUAAUAAGUAACAAAUACAUAAAAUAUUCUUUGUUAUGAAUUACAGAUUUCCUUAUUAUUGAAAUUGUAUCACUGUUUUAAAAUAAGCAGCUAUGUUGUAUGACAUGAUAAAGAAAAUGAUCACUUUGAUCACAUUUCUAUGCUAUAAAUUAUUAGCAAUACAGAUUAAAUUUUACAUUGCACUUUUAACUCAGGAAAUGAUCAUUUAUGUCCUUGUUAUUGUUAAGACAUGGAAUGCUGUAACUUAUUGAAUUACCCAGAUAAUUUUGUGUAUACAUUUGGCAUUGAAUCAGUAGAAUAAAAUUAUUCUAUUAUUAUACUAUUAUUAAGUACUUUUUAAUCCUUGUGGUAAAAAUGUGGCUGAAUGCAACAAUAUUGGGCCAAUGACUUAAAAAGAGAAUUUUAAAAGGUACUAAUAAAAGAUAUUGGAGACAUUUCAUA